rnacentral:misc_RNA from 1 species
GAUGAAGAACGUAGUAAAAUGCGAUAAGUAAUGUGAAUUGCAGAAUUCAGUGAAUCAUCGAAUCUUUGAACGCACAUUGCGCCCGCCAGUAUUCUGGCGGGCAUGCCUGUUCGAGCGUCAUUUCAACCAUCAAGCCCCAGGCUUGUGUUGGGGACCUGCGGCUGCCGCAGGCCCUGAAAACCAGUGGCGGGCUCGCUAGUCACACCGAGCGUAGUAGCAUACACAUCGCUCAGGGCGUGCUGCGGGUUCCGGCCGUUAAACCCCUUUUUUCCCCAAGGUUGACCUCGGAUCAGGUAGGAAGACCCGCUGAACUUAAGCAUAUCAAUAAGCGGAGGA